UCACACAUUAACUAUGGCAGUCCCUCUAAAGUGCUUGGUUUCCCAGUGGCAAUUAGAGGUAAGGGUUGCGCUCGUUGCGGGACUUAACCCAACAUCUCACGACACGAGCUGACGACAGCCAUGCAGCACCGUCUCUCGGGCUCUCUUAUUCAGAGCACCUCCUCUUUUCUGAGGAGUUCCCGAGGAUUUAACCCAGGUAAGGUUUUUCGCGUUGCGUCGAAUUAAACCACAUGCUCCACCGCUUGUGCGGGUCCCCGUCAAUUCCUUUGAGUUUUAGCCUUGCGGCCGUAAUCCCCAGGCGGGGCACUUAAUGCGUUAGCUACGGCACUGCGAGUUUUAUAACUCACAACACCUAGUGCCCAUCGUUUACAGCGUGGACUAC
rnacentral:misc_RNA from 1 species